GACAGUAGGCCCUUCAUCGUAGAUGUUUAAGGCCCAAGAAGAACCUAAACAUUACUAUUUGCCAAUUUAAACACUUCUUUUGACUCAGCUCUCAAACAUAAAAACAAUGCCUUGGCGACAGCUGUAGACUUAAUAGGGUUAGUCCCUCCAUAGUGACAGAAUAGGAAAUGCGUAUAUUCUAGUUGCCAGGGAAGCUGCUCAAACAUGAAGCAGGUGCAGCUGCAUCAGUAUGCUCUGCACUGAGAUCAAAGACAGGUGGAUAAACUACUUCCUGCGCUCUCUAUCAGAGUACGCCUCAGUGAAAAGCUACUUGCAAUAGACAUCUUGCAGAAACUUUGGCCAUAAAGUUAUUGUUGUCUCGUUGCAUCUAGAGACAAGGAAGAAGUUCUAUGAGCAGAGAAGCCAAUUAUCUGAAAUGGGUGGCCCUUUCAACUGGUUCUAGAUGGAAUUACAUAAACUGGGAGAGACAGAACAGAUGCAGCAUCUCUUAUAGUGGGAUCAUUAAUCAGCCGAGAUCCUCUUGAUGACAAAAAAUGGUUACAUUCAAACUACAAGAUCUAGCACCUGCAGAGGAGCCAAUACAAUCGAUUCAGUUGAGAUUAAAGCAUAUGCUUUGAAAAAGAGUGGAAAACCAAGAGAACCAGACAUCUAUGAAAAAUGAAGAAUCUUUUUACUAUCCAACUCUAUUUUAAUACACUCUUUGGUGUCCAGUUGUAUACCUUACACCAGGGGUGGGAAACGUCUUGCCUGAGAGCCAUAUAUGGCUUCUGAGAUCAAGUGGUCUGGUUUUGGUCUCCCAUCCAAACAUUAACCAAGUACUGACUCAGACCUGGUGCCUAUAACAAUCCUUGCAAAAACUGAAUCUCAGAUUAAGAAUAAGUAUAUUAGAGUAAUAUACUAUAAUUAUACAAAUGUUGGAUAUUUUCCAAAUUCAAAAUAUGGGGUUAGAACAGCGAUCAAAGCAAAAUAAUUCCCACCCAAGACCACGAAGCCAUAGUUGCUGUGGGUGAGGGAGCACCUCUGAUGGUAUCUCCAGAUAGAGACCAGGGUUAGACUCACUGGUGUGUGCCCCUGCUGAGGCAGGUUACAUGGAGGGACCACAGGUUUUAUAAAACUUCGCUUUCCUCCUGCCCCUCUCCCUCCUGGCACAUGAUUUCUAUGCACCAGGAGGACUCUACCAGGACCUUUUUGGCAGCUGGUUAAGUUUUUUUCUAUUUUAAGGCCUUUAGGAGGGGUGUUGAGGAGGGGGUUGGUGCCCUCAGGCUCAUACAGGCUGAAAAACCUGAGAGGACUGUGUAGAUUGGGCCCGGAGAUCACAUGACACAGUCCCCGAGCCCAAUCCACACUGGGCCCAUACCUGGAAAGACCUGGAUUUUAUCCAAGACCCAAGUCUUACCAGGUAUCAGAGUAAUUCAGGACAAAUAAGGUUUUCCUGCUUUGUCUCAAAUUAAUUUAAUUUUACCAGAGGCGUCGCUUGGACGCCUCUGGUAAAAGCGCACAAGCAGGUGGCUCCUUACGUAGUAUAUGUGAACAACAAAACACAGAGAAAAGGAGAAAAGAGGUAACACUUCCUCACCAGCCAACACAACAUGUUAAGAAAAAAGCAUAGAUCUAUACAUUUUACAACAAAAUUGAAGUUCUAAGAAAAGUAGAGGCUAGUGAAAGGAAGACACUUUGGAAGAAACCUUCAAGUCGCUUCUACAAGGUUCAAAAUGUCUUUGAUUACUUGGUUAAAUACUAACUGACCUUGUUGUUUCACUUCAUAUGCAUACAUUGUUAGUUUUGAAAAGUAAAUUGCUGAAAUAGA